rnacentral:rRNA from 1 species
UACGGAGGGGGUUAGCGUUGUUCGGAAUUACUGGGCGUAAAGCGUACGUAGGCGGAUUGGAAAGUAUGGGGUGAAAUCCCAGGGCUCAACCCUGGAACUGCCCUGUAAACUACUAGUCUAGAGUUCGAGAGAGGUGAGUGGAAUUCCAAGUGUAGAGGUGAAAUUCGUAGAUAUUUGGAGGAACACCAGUGGCGAAGGCGGCUCACUGGCUCGAUACUGACGCUGAGGUACGAAAGUGUGGGGAGCAAACAGG